AUGCCCUCUGCCUCGUGCGCCUCCUACUCCCACUCCAGCGCCGCCGCUACCCUCGGCCGCCUCCCUCCAUCCAGUGGUGUCGCCUCUCCUCCCCUAUACGUGCGCCGCCGCCCCUCCGCCCCCUCCUACCUGUCGUCGUCUCGCCGCUGCAGCCGUCCCCAAGGUGAGAAAGCUAUCAAGGCUAGGGUUCACCGGAAAGGAAGGAAAAAAAUCCCCAUUCCCUCCGGCGUCUCUUACGCCCCGCUGUCGGCCUACUCUUCCUCUCGGAAGUAUCGUCUUCAUCCUCGACGCAGAAGGAUAGCACAGACUGCAGAGAUGCCAUGCCGCCGUGCUCCUUUUCGCCGAUCCCCUUCCACCAGAUUGGCUGAUGAGGGGAGGUCCAAUAGGUCCAUGGUGGGGAUGGAGCAACGAGGCCGGAGACCCAGCGGCGGAUGCCUCAUGGGUAGAGGAGAGGUUAACAAUACGGACAAGGAGCAGCGGUGUCGUAUGGAUCUGCAGGGAGGCGUCUUCAAGGGAUGGCUGGUGUCAAUAUUUGUGUUGAUAUGCCCUACAUAUCGAGUUCAUCGUCCAAGCACCUUCUGCGGAAAGAAAGAAAAAGGCUUUCAACAAUUACAGUCAGGGCAGUCUGCUAAUUGUAUCAGCAACAUAUACUGCACCAUGGACCACCGGGUCAAGAACUCCAGCUUGGAAAAGUACCUUUACCAUGCGCUAUGCAAUAGCAGCUACCCAAAUGCUAAGAAUAACAGGACAACUCAGCCGUGA
rnacentral:rRNA from 1 species